rnacentral:tRNA from 8 species
GGGCCGUUAGCUCAGUUGGUAGAGCAGUUGACUUUUAAUCAAUUGGUCGCAGGUUCGAAUCCUGCACGACCCACCA